CGCCUGGUGAGGUCACAGGCAAGGCUUGGACCAGACCCAGGCUCCAGAGGCAGGGCCGCUGCUUCCUCUCAUAUUGCACAGAGCACUUUACAGAAGGCAUCCCAGACCCGCAGGAGGAUGUCACUGAUGAGAGAGUCGGCGAAGACCACGAGGAACCAGUUGAAAGUGAUGAGAGAGAGGUCUACACGGUGCUGCCCCAGGUGCGCAGUCAGUCGGGGCAGCUUCUCCGAGAGGAGGUCCUGGAGCACCCGCUGGUCCACCUGGGAGGCAGAAGAGGCCUGUCACUUCGGCUGGCUCCCUCUCUGCCUGCUCUUCAGGCCCCACGUCAGAGGUCCUGGGCAGGCCUGUUUUGUACUGGGAGUGGUGUGUGUGUGUGGCAGGUGCAGCAACAUCACCAUGCCUCCCGACACUUGGGCAAAGCAACAGGCUUUGCCAUGGGUCUCUCUGUGGGUAAGUCCUUGGCCCCUUUACCCAGCCAAUGUCCCCGACAACUAAGUUGUCUCAUGUUUUCAGGAACAAAAGAGACUUUUCAAGGUGGCUUCUCUAGACCCAUAUUGGUCUGACUCUUAAGAUGCUUGGCGGACACUUGGGGUGAGGGCCUGAGACAGAUACUGAUAUCGCAGUGUGUCCUGACACAUCAGGUGGCAGGAAUCUAAAGCAGGAAGCUGCAGGCCACAGCUGCUAGUGACCUCUCCUGGUGGUUCUACCUUAUUUAUUUCAGUGGACAUGGCUACUGUUACUCCUGGGACAGAUCCCUCCUCCUUGGCAGUGCCCUGAUCUGUGUCCCCUCCUGCUCCUUCUUGCCUAGAACUGUGACAGUCCUCCCUGUGCAAGUCUGUCUGGACAUCAGUGUUGCUGUGGUGAGUACCCAGGGAUGCCCUUCCCUCCCUCCCUUCUUCCCUCAGAGGCAUGACCUCGUCAGAGCCCCAUGUGAGUCACCAGAUCUAUGAUGAAAUGGGACCAAGAACUGCCUGUGAUCCACAGUACAGCAGUCAAGGCAGGGCAGACUCCUCCCUCUGUUGGUAACUGGGGACACUAGGUGGGGUCCCCGGCUGCCUAUCGUCUCUGUUCUGAAUGUAGCCAAUUCUCCAAGGUCAAGGUAAACCCAAAGCAAGCUUGAUGCUGGUGCUCAAUGCAUCUCCCUUUCAGAGAUGUUAAGACGCAACAAUGAGCUAUGGUAUUUCCCAGCCGGCCUUACUGUAGCGGGGCAGACCUAAGACAUGGUUCUAACCAAAAGAAGACAGAAAGGAGAAACUGCAGACUGAAACUCCAGCGGCCACCUGUCUGCUUCUGGCGUACACCACGGCCACAGACGGGGUUGAGGGUGGCACAGCCCUCUUGUAACCAACUGGUGAUGAACAUGAGGCUGGCGGAGCAGGCAGCCGGGGGGAGCCUGACCCUGCGGCAUCAAGGACCAUACUUGGUCCCUUCCUCUCCAUGAGGCCAGGUGCAGUCCCUUCUGUCUGAGCUGGCUCUCUCCUUGCAGCUGCGCUUGAUCCCUGCCAUCUCAAAGGGCACCCAGGAGGAGCGAAAGCAAAGCUUCCCGGGGGCAUGGCGUCACCACUGGGCCAACUUGCAGGACCAACAGGGCGAUGGCCGCCAGCCUGCAGAAGAGGGAGGAGCCAGGAGUGACCGACCCAUAGCAGUUACAGUGCUGCGUGGCAGAGAGAGCAUCCUGGGGGCCUGGGUUGAGUCCUCCCAUAUGGCACUGGGCUAGCCCGAAACCCAGACCAGGCUGGUAGUCAUGGCGCCCGGGGUGAGAGGUUUGGAGGAUGCUCACAGGUCAACGUCCAGAGCCGUGGAGAUCAAUUCAGAACAGAGGCUCUGAGGCUGGGUUGCCUGGAUGGAAAUUAUGGUAAGGAUUGUUUCCUGGGUGGCCUUAGGUAAACUACUUAACCUGUCUCAGCCUCAACCUCCUCAUAAGCAUCAGGGCUGGGUGAGGACCAGUGCUCAGCGCUGUUGGCAGUCAGCAUGUUUACUGUCCACCUGGUGCAUGUAGCGCAGUCAGUGCUCGGUAAGUACUGGCUACCUUCACCUUCGCGAUGGCAAGCUCUGAGAGCCUGUGAGGGACACCGCCCACCUGUCGGGGCUGUGUGGUCCCAAGGGAGAGCAGACCUUGUGCCUUUCUCGCUGGCACACCCUGUGCUGAGCACACACAGCCUUUCCUCCUAUGCGCCUUCACCAGUUAUGAGGUCCUACUGAGACCGGGGGGCGGGGGGAGGGAGGACAGACAGACAAGCCUUGAGCUGCGUGGGGACAUCUCCCCCGAGAGAAGCACUCUGCUUCUUCCACCUUCCCUGAGGGGACACAUCCAGGCCGACCCAAGAGACCACUCCCCAGCUUCCAUGGACCCUGGCAAACACACAGCCCGUCCCAGACACUCUCCGAGGCUCAGAGUGCUUCAGCAAAGCCUCACGACUUUCUGUAGCAAUGAGCCCAAAGGACAGACACUCUGACACAGGGGGGGGGGUUUCUGGGAACCAUGGGGUCCUUAGGUCUGAGGGCAGCCCUCUUCAGGGCAUCUGUAGGGGAAGGGGCUGCACUGGAAGUCAUGGGCUCUCUGUGCAAUUACAGAAGCUUUGGUUUUUAUUUUAUUUUAAUUUUUAAAAUGUCUUCCUGACCCUUUUUUU